rnacentral:rRNA from 1 species
CUCGUAGGUGGCCAAUUAAGUCAGACGUGAAAUCCCCAAGCUUAACUUGGGAACUGCGUCUGAUACUGAGUGGCUUGAAUUCGGGAGAGGGAUGCAGAAUUCCAGGCGUAGCGGUGAAAUGCGUAGAUAUCUGGAGGAAUACCGGUGACGAAGGCGGCAUCCUGGACCGAGAUUGACACUGAGGAGCGAAAGCCAGGGGAGCAAACG